GAGAGAAAAUAAAAGAACCAUUUUCGAUUUCUUUUUUUAUUGAACUAAUCUCAUCUACUGACACUUUCUUAUAUAGAUCUCUAAUAUUAUCUGCUGACGAUCUCUUAAUAAAUAGAUCUCCUAAAUAGCAUAACAAAAGAUCAAUACUUUUUAAUAGAGAACCCCGAUCCAGAACUAUGGAAUUGGGGUUUGUUUCAUCAAGUAGAAAGUGCAUAUCUUCUCUAUCGAGAUAUUUAUUCGUAUUACUACCGCUACCCGCAAAUCCACGUAAUGAACAACUAAAACAGGUAAAUCCAGGUAAUGAACAACUAAGACCGGUAAAUCCAGGUAAUGAACAGGUAAAUCCAGGUAAUGAACAACUAAGACCGGUAAAUCCAGGUAAUGAACAACUAAGACCAGCUAAAACCCGUACUGAACGACGAGCAAGAUUAAAUGUGAGUUUAGUACGUAUUUAGGAGACAACAUAGGUUUAAUUACUGUUUGUAUACGAAUACUAGGUGUAUCGCUUAGACUGCAUAACUCAUAAGUGAGAUGGAUUGAGUGAUACGAACACCCUCACCAUCUCACCACCCUGGCGGCUAUUACCGUGGUAGGGAUUUCCCCCUACCUUUAACUCCCCCAUAGAAAUAAGCGGUUAAAAUCUGACCAUUACACUACCUACAAAUGAGGCGUGUAACUUACCUACUUGGGAGAGACAAGCCUCUAAUCUGGAUUUCACCAGGGUUAGUAGAGAUAAAUGAACCCAUACCCAAGGGGGUCCGGGUUUUAUCUCUAUAGGCUCUCCAAUAGAGUAUACAUAUUUUUUCUUACUCUUAUUCUUUCUUUUUAGAAUAAAAUAUAGGAAGGAGAUUUUACUUCUUAGAAGGAGAUGACUAGAUCUUUGUAUUUACUGGUCUCGAUAAUUGAAGAGAGGAAAGAGACAGAGGAGUACGCGAAAGGACACUGUGAAGGAGAUUGAUCCUAGCUCCUUCUUUCAUACCAGGAAAGAGAAGAGGGGAUGCUUGCUAUCAUUCCAGUGCCAACUGUCCAA
rnacentral:lncRNA from 1 species